rnacentral:tRNA from 1 species
GCGGGUGUAGUUUAGUGGCAAAACAGAAGCUUCCCAAGCUUCCGUCGCGAGUUCGAUUCUCGUCACCCGCU